rnacentral:rRNA from 1 species
UACGUAGGGCGCAAGCGUUGUCCGGAAUUAUUGGGCGUAAAGAGCUCGUAGGCGGUUUGUCGCGUCUGUCGUGAAAGCCCGGGGCUUAACUCCGGGUCUGCAUUCGAUACGGGCAGGCUAGAGUUCGGUAGGGGAGAUCGGAAUUCCUGGUGUAGCGGUGAAAUGCGCAGAUAUCAGGAGGAACACCGGUGGCGAAGGCGGAUCUCUGGGCCGAUACUGACGCUGAGGAGCGAAAGCGUGGGGAGCGAACAGG